GUUCGGCAACAACUGGUACUGCUCCAGCUCCUGCACCAGCACCUGGGCCCUUCUCCAACACAGACCCGGUGAGAGGUACUGGGCGAUGAGGAAGUACAGCUCCAACUCCAUGAGAGGCACCGGGCCUCAGAACCAGGAAGAUCCGGAUAAAGACACUGUCUGCACUCUACUCAGAUGCCCUUUGAGUCUAUGCGCUGUUUCUGGGCUCAUCCUCCAGCCUCAACGUGUUUGCUGCCACACAGCAUGUCCUGUGGGACUGGAGAAAUAUGGAGAAUGCAGCACACUUGCUUCCUACUGAAGAAAUCCCUGAAAAACCAGAUGGCAGAAGUUACUCAGAAGAAAUGAAAGGAUUUUCCAUUAUUCAAAUAGGAGGUGGAAGAGGAAGUGUGGGAGUAAUUACUGGAUUAAGAUCACUGAAAGACAAGAUUGUCUUUAAGGAAACAGAAGACUGAGAAGAAAAGAAGCUUGCUCAAGGUCACAUAGAGCUGGAAUUUAAAUUCAGAUCUAUUAUACUCUUAAGGACUGUGGAAGGAGCAAAAUCUGAUCCAGAGACUGUGGAUGCUGGAGGAGCGUCAAGGCUGGGAAAGUAACAUGCACUGUGUUCGCAAUCAACAGAAAAGAUAUUUUUAAACAAAAACAAUUUUCCAAGUUUCCAGGAAGAGAAACAAAAGGCUUUUCUAAAAUGAAAGAAACUGUUCUUCUCAUUCUGUGACUUUUAUGUCACUUGGACAACAAGCCAGUGCUUAGGAACGGUUAUUUUCCUGUCGACAUCGCUGCAUGGAUACUUCUUAGAAGAACAUAACAGCAUUAGCACUCAGUCCCAGGUUCUGCUCACCCUCCAAUGGCAGUCGUCUUCAAAAACAAUAAAGAUAUCUGUGCUUGGUCUCUCUGUCUUGAUUACACUGCAGGCACAACCUGUGUGGGGAAACAAUAUCCUGGAUCAUACUGAAGGUUCGCACAGAUGGAACAUUAGUGGGAGGGGUUGCCAGCUACUUCCCUGCCAACUUGUUAGUGCUGGAGACAUUAUCCUCUUAUUUUGCCAGUUUAACAGAAGAUCAGUCGUAAAGAUUCACUGUAGGCUCAGCAACAUAAUUAUUAUCUAUGGUCUCUGCAUUAACUGUGAGAAAACAUCAUAGUCUGAAUCUGCCUAAUUUCAAAUGCCAAGCUGUGCCCACAUUCAGCCCACAACUGAACCUGAAUACUCAAUAUAUCCUUAGCAUUGCUACUGUUGUCAUCAUGGUGGAUGUUAAGUACAGGUUUGCCCAAGCUAUGAUGUUUAAUUGUUGCCUUACUGCUUCUGUAUUUCUUCUGUUUCCCUGACCCUUUUCAACACCAGCCCCAUGCAAUUUAAAACUAUUAAAAAGGUAAAAAUCGGUGUCACAUUUAGUUCUGCUACUCAGUACAGAAGUGCCAAGCCCCUGCAAAUCUGGAAAACAAACUCCUUAACAGAUGGGCCACAUAAAGUUUACAACAUGUGCAAUGUGGGAGGUAGUAUGGCUCUGGGCAAGAAACAGAAGACUGGAAGUUUGGGAGCUCAGGGUUUUUGAAUUUGCUUUUGCUUUUUG
rnacentral:lncRNA from 10 species